AUUGAACGCUGGCGGCAGGCUUAACACAUGCAAGUCGAGCGGAGAGAGGUAGCUUGCUACUGAUCUUAGCGGCGGACGGGGGAGUAAUGCUUAGGAAUCUGCCUAUUAGUGGGGGACAACAUUUCGAAAGGAAUGCUAAUACCGCAUACGUCCUACGGGAGAAAGCAGGGGAUCUUCGGACCUUGCGCUAAUAGAUGAGCCUAAGUCGGAUUAGCUAGUUGGUGGGGUAAAGGCCUACCAAGGCGACGAUCUGUAGCGGGUCUGAGAGGAUGAUCCGCCACACUGGGACUGAGACACGGCCCAGACUCCUACGGGAGGCAGCAGUGGGGAAUAUUGGACAAUGGGCGGAAGCCUGAUCCAGCCAUGCCGCGUGUGUGAAGAAGGCCUUAUGGUUGUACAGCACUUUAAGCGAGGAGGAGGCUACUUUAGUUAAUACCUAGAGAUAGUGGACGUUACUCGCAGAAUAAGCACCGGCUAACUCUGUGCCAGCAGCCGCAGUAA
rnacentral:rRNA from 1 species